rnacentral:lncRNA from 1 species
AUUAAGCAUUAUUUUCAUCACAAACUUCAUUAAAAUCUAAUUAAUUAAUGUUAAUUAAUUCACUCGAACGAUAAUUGAAAAAUUUGAAAUGCAUUAUACGUUUGGAUUUUCUUUAUUUACGAGUCGAUAUAUUUUUUCUUUGCAAAGAGUUCUGUGGUUUUGUUUGAGAAUUUUAAUGUAUCAGUUAUUAACUUUUUUCUUUUCAUUUUGUAGUUAUCACGGUAUGUAUAGGUUUAUGUUUAUUAAUAGGUUUUUAAGCAUAUGCUUAUCUCAAAAUUUGAUAUUAGAGAUGAGCUUAUUUUGAAUAAAAAUGAAUUGGAAGUCAAAAAACGGUUAGAAAUAGAAAAUAAGGACCACCCACGAUCUGUUAUAAAAGGACAAGCGUGUAAUUUUCGGGGGUUGCCAUACUCCACCUCGUGUGUUGGGAUCAGCUUUACAUAGUAUGUCGAGGAAUACAAAUACUGCAAACAGUUCACGACCUUUCUAAAAAUCCAUUAAUAGUUGAUGUAGGGAACAAAAAUAUUUCAUACCUCUGCGAAAAGAUAUCCAUCACUUUCAUGAAGAAAUCCGACGAUGACUUUGUUUGGAAUGAUGGACGAUAUUGCGUGGAGAGUUAAGGAAGAAACUAAACAGAGAAGCUGCUCCUAUGUAAAUAACGCAUUUAUUUUUGUACACGCUCCUUAUAAUUAUUAAAAUAUUAUUUAGCAAUGAGUAAGAGCGUUAAAUUCAUUCAUAUAUAUUCAUAGAAAUUUAUGAUAUUAAGAAAAUAAUGGCUUGGAAUCGUUAAACAACAACGCAGUUAAUUGAACUCGUGAGAU